CAACUUCCGGUUUCUGCACUGUGCAACUAUUUCAGUUACAUUUUUAAUUAACGAUGCCAAGUACUUGUUGUUGUGUACCUGGAUGUCAUUUAAGAGGAGGACAUGCAUUUCCAAAUGUCUUAAAAAGAAGGAAAAGUUGGAUCAACGCCAUGGCCCAUACGCAGAUUGGACGAGAACACGAUGAAAUCGUGGAGUCCAUCUCAAUCAGCUGUUGUUUGCAAGGCACAUUUUACUGGAAAAGACUACGUGCAGGAAACUAUUCAUGGGCACAAACCCGCCAUACAGAGACUUAAGUCUACUGCCAUUCCCAGCCUAUUUUCCUGGACCAAGCAAGAGACUGAAUCGUCUGCAAAAAGAAAAAUCAGGGCAGUUUCCUGUGAAAACAAAAGAACUUAACUUGAUGAAUAUUGUAGUAGAAAUCUAGAGGAAAGUUUUGACUGUAAAGUUGGUUUUCCUGAAGAAGUCAUUCAUACUGCAGAAAGGAUUUAUGACUGUCCACCACCAACUGCCGAGCUAAUGUUGAGCUUCACAGAUGGAAUUACGCAAACACCAUCAAUGCCUAUGUUUUCAGCAGAGAAUUUUGAAAUGAAGACAUGUGACACAGCCAUGCAUUUUUAUAUCGGUUUAGAGUUGUAUACUAAAUUUUUAUUUGUUUUGACCACACUUGGUCCAGCAGCACAUUGUUUGAGAUACAUAUAUUUUCAAAUUGAUAGACAUAAUAAACAUGUACACAUACAUGUAGGGCGAAUUAUUGGACUUGGCAAAACAUACAAAAUUCUAAUAAAUCCUGUGAAUGGAACUGAAACAAAACUUUCAUCUGAAAUAACAUUUAGUUGUUUUAUGUUGUGUAAUUUUAGAACUUGUAUUGUGCCAAAGGAUGCAUAAAUAAAAGUGACACAAUGAA